AGAGUGAACGCUGGCGGCAGGCCUAACACAUGCAAGUCGAACGGCAGCACAGGGGAGCUUGCUCCCUGGGUGGCGAGUGGCGGACGGGUGAGGAAAACGUCGGAAUCUGCCUAUUUGUGGGGGAUAACGUAGGGAAACUUACGCUAAUACCGCAUACGACCUACGGGUGAAAGCGGAGGACCUUCGGGCUUCGCGCAGAUAGAUGAGCCGACGUCGGAUUAGCUAGUUGGCGGGGUAAAGCCCACAAGGCGACGAUCCGUAGCUGGUCUGAGAGGAUGAUCAGCCACACUGGAACUGAGACACGGUCCAGACUCCU
rnacentral:rRNA from 1 species